GUUGUGUCGCGAGUCUCAACUGUUUGUUGCGCACACCGCGAGCUACUCCGCGACAGAACACUAUUGCCAACUCGGAGAAAUCAAAGUCCGCUUUCAGAAUAAGUAUCGUUAUUUUAGCAACAGCAAUAAGAGCGGAUGAUAAACAAAAAAUAAUAAUAAUUGAGAAAAAUGAAGACAAGUUUAAAGAAAGAUAUGUGCAAAUAGUGUUGGUAAGACUUGGCUGGGAUAAUGAGUGGGAGAAAGGUCGUGCAGCUGAUGAUACUAGUGCGGCUGCACCUAAACUCGCCUUGUGCCGGGGAGAAUUACAGUAGAUGGAGAUGGAUAUAACGUAAAACAUACAACAGACUGAGAGAAUGGGGAGAGACGGGACAGAGAAAAAAUAGAUAUUUGACAUUACUGGAUGACUUGACAAGACUAACUAAUGUAAAUUUUACAUCUAUAAUAUUUUUGAUUGUAGGUACAAUCAUUCAUUUUGCUCCGUUCUAUUCAAUGUCUACAUUCACUUUACCUGUACAGCUUCCUCUGCAAUCUAUUGACUCUACAACCAUUCAACUACAAAGUUAUUUUUCUCUCUAAAAGCCACUUGUACCUUUUACCUGAUUUAUUGGUGACCCAUGGCUUUUCAAUGACUCAAUAAAUUACAGCAUAAAAUUUUCAAA